rnacentral:lncRNA from 1 species
AGGGAGGGGAAGGAUGUGGAAUAAAGCAAAAUGGAUCCCGGCCUUCGAGCCUGGGGCUGAGAGUCUCCCUCUCUCCUCUGGCAUGGCUGGCCCUUGGCUCCCCGUGGCUUUGGUACAAACAGCAAGGACAAGUUACCAUUUAACUAGAGCUGGAGCCUGGCCAAGCUCUCCAGCCAGUGGCAAACCUGCAGGACCAGUUCGCAGGGAUGAAAGGGCUCCUGGAGAGACAAAAUCUCACUACGUAGCCCAGGCUGGCCUGGAACUCUCAGUGAUUCUCCCACCUCAGCCUCCUGAAUGCUAAGAUGACAGCUUCCUGGUCCUUGAUGCAGACCAGAAAAAAGGAAGAGGAGGAAGAGAAGGAGGAGGAAGAGGAAGAAGAGAAGGAAGAAGAGGAAGAAGAGAUGGAAGAAGGGGAAAGGAGAUCUGGAGCUGUCUCUUUAAAUCUUUCUAGAAGUCCAACAGAAAUAGAACAUUUAUCUGUGUGAAGGCUACACAGGCUUAACUAAAAAUGUCAAGUUUCUUUGCUGGAAUUUUAACAGGGAACAUGAUAAGUGUACAUUUAUUCAGUAAUGAUCAAUUCCGGGUUCUCUUUUGUAUGAGAUGAAAUGGUGACAUGCUGCUCAGAAGCUCUGCUUGGUUUUGUUUCAUACAAAAUCACCUCUUGAAGUAAUAAUUGCUGGAUGAAUGUUAUCUGAUUGUCCUAAACUCUUGCUCUUCUCUCUGUGUUGUGUGCCCUGGGGAGAGGCUACAAAGAUGGGAUAAUAAAAAAGUAAAAUGUUUGCUUUAAAAAAAAUUUUUUUUUUAAUUUUUUUUUUAGAUAGGGUCAUGGUGGCUCAUGCCUGUAAUCCCAACACUCAGGAGCCUGAGGCAGGAGGAUUGCUGUGACUUCAAGGCUAGGCUGGGCUACAUAGCAAAACCCUGUCCCCAAACAAAACAGGCCAAGGAUUUAACUCAGUGGCACCACACCUGC